ACCCGCCGGAACCGCCGCCCGCAGAGAGGAAGCGCCUGCGCGGGCGCAGGCGGCCGGGAUGGCGGGGCCCGGCUGGGGUCCCCCGCGCCUGGACGGCUUCAUCCUCACCGAGCGCCUGGGCAGCGGCACGUACGCCACGGUGUACAAGGCCUACGCCAAGGACACUCGUGAGGUGGUAGCCAUAAAGUGUGUAGCCAAGAAAAGUCUGAACAAGGCAUCGGUGGAGAACCUCCUCACGGAGAUUGAGAUCCUCAAGGGCAUUCGACAUCCCCACAUUGUGCAGCUGAAAGACUUUCAGUGGGACAGUGACAAUAUCUACCUCAUCAUGGAGUUUUGCGCAGGGGGCGACCUGUCUCGCUUCAUCCAUACCCGCAGGAUUCUGCCUGAGAAGGUGGCGCGUGUCUUCAUGCAGCAGUUAGCUAGCGCCCUGCAAUUCCUGCAUGAACGGAGUAUCUCUCACCUGGAUCUGAAGCCACAGAACAUUCUACUGAGCUCCUUGGAGAAGCCCCACCUAAAACUGGCAGACUUUGGUUUCGCACAACACAUGUCCCCGUGGGAUGAGAAGCACGUGCUCCGUGGCUCCCCCCUCUACAUGGCCCCCGAGAUGGUGUGCCAGCGGCAGUAUGACGCCCGCGUGGACCUCUGGUCCGUGGGGGUCAUCCUGUAUGAAGCCCUCUUCGGGCAGCCCCCCUUUGCCUCCAGGUCGUUCUCAGAGCUGGAAGAGAAGAUCCGUAGCAACCGGGUCAUUGAGCUCCCCUUGCGGCCCCUGCUCUCCCGAGACUGCCGGGACCUACUGCAGCGGCUCCUGGAGCGGGACCCCAGCCGUCGCAUCUCCUUCCAGGACUUCUUUGCGCACCCCUGGGUGGACCUGGAGCACAUGCCCAGUGGGGAGAGUCUGGGGCGAGCAGUGAGCAGACGGCUGGGGCUGGGGUGGGCUGAGGG
rnacentral:sRNA from 1 species